rnacentral:rRNA from 1 species
UGAGUUUGAUUAUGGCUCAGAUUGAACGCUGGCGGUAGGCUUAACACAUGCAAGUCGUGCGAGAAAGUACCUUCGGGUGCGAGUAGAGCGGCGGACGGGUGAGUAACGCGUAGGAAUCUACCUAGUAGAAGGGGAUAGCCCGGGGAAACUCGGAUUAAUACCGUAUACCUCCUUAGGGAGAAAGAGGGCUUAGCUUUGAUGCUCUCGCUAUUAGAUGAGCCUGCGUAAGAUUAGCUUGUUGGUGAGGUAAUGGCUCACCAAGGCGACGAUCUUUAGCUGGUCUGAGAGGACGAUCAGCCACAUUGGGACUGAGACACGGCCCAGACUCCUACGGGAGGCAGCAGUGGGGAAUAUUGGACAAUGGGCGCAAGCCUGAUCCAGCCAUACCGCGUGUGUGAAGAAGGCUUUCGGGUUGUAAAGCACUUUAAGUAANNAGGAAAAGAUUGUAGUUAAUACCUGCAAUCCGUGACGUUACUUACAGAAUAAGGACCGGCUAAUUCCGUGCCAGCAGCCGCGGUAAUACGGAAGGUCCAAGCGUUAAUCGGAAUUACUGGGCGUAAAGCACGCGUA